AGGCUCAUCUCUGCAUGGACCGUCUUGAGGAGCGUUCCUGAGGGUGGUAACCAUGGUUGCCUCUGGAAACAGGGAAACUGGGGUGAGGAGAGAGGAAAAUUGAUGUUUCAUUAUGCACCUUUUAUGCAUGUUGAAAUUUUUAUUCCACAUACGGAAUACAUUUUUUAAACAUUAAAUUAAAAAGUUAAAAGACACUUCACACCCAUUAGGAUGGCUAUUAUCAAAAAAAAAAAAAAAGAAAGCAACAAGUAUUGACAAGGAUGUGGAGAAAAGGGAACCCUGUGCACUGCUGAUGGGAAUGUAAAGUGAUACAGCUAUGGGAAUCCAUAGGGCGGUUCCUCAAAAAAUUGCAAAUGAACUACCCUAUGAUGAUCCAGUAAUGAUCCAGCAAUUCUGCUGCUGGGUGUAUGCCCAAAAGAAGUGAAAGCAGGGCCUCAAAAAGGUAUCUGUACCUCCAUGUCCGUAGCAGUGUUAUUCGCAAUAGCUAAAAGGUGGAAGCAACCCAUUGAUGGAUGAAUGGAUAACCAAAAUGUGGGAUCUACAUGCAAUGGGCCAGUGUUCAGUCUUAAAAAGGCAGGAAAUUGACAGGUGGAUGAACCUUGGAGACAUUAUACUAAGUGAAAUAAGCCAGUCACAAAGGACAAAUACUGCUUGGUUGCACUUAUAUGAGGUAACUCGAGUAGUCAAAUUCAUAAAGACAGAAAGUAGAAUGGUGGGUCCCAGGGGCUGGAGGAGCGAGGACUGAGGAGUCAGUGUUUAAUGGGGACAGUUUCAGUUUGGGAAGAUGACAAAGUUCUGUGGAUGGACGGUGGUGACAGGUGACAGGCACAGCAAUGUGAAUGUACUUAAUGCCAGUGAACCGUAAACUUAAAAAUUGUAAAGACUAAAGUUUACGUGUAUUUUACUACAAUUAAAAAGAAAAGUUUCUCAAGUCACAUAUCCCUUUGGCUCUGCCUGUGCGGCUGGAGCUGAACCUCUCCGUGAGCCCUGCAGGCAGCAGGCAGCGCCAGUCCAGCGGCCUCUGAAUAAUGCAUGAGUCAAAGGGUGGUUGUCAGGGAGGGCCCCCUCCAGGGCUCUGCUGGCCCUGCUGACCACGGAGUGCCCUUUGGGAGGGCUGGUUUGGGUGCUGGUGGAGCAGGUGCUGGGCUGGAGUCUGACCUGGCCCAGGCUGGGGGCAUCCUGGUGUAAACACAGGUUGCCAGAGCUGAGGCCUAAUUGUGACAAGGUUCAGGCUUCUCCACAUGCCCCAAGGAAUUGUUGCAAGAUGCUCUGGAUGAAGCCAUGGGUGUCACCCCGAAGCAUCCAGUCCUCCCCCAGAAGGGAUGAGGGGUCCCUGUUUUCCUUCGAAAGAAGCCAGUACCCGGACCCCGGGAUCCUCUUCAAAGUCUAAAGAGGCAAAUAGGAGAAAUAAGAAGAUCCAUCUCUUUCCCUCACACCUUGACACCCAAGUUUCUCUCUUUAUCUUUUCUUUUCAGCCUUUCAUUUAUUUUUUUUAAAGGAAGGGGCCUUUCUGGGUAAUUAGAGUAUUUGGACCAUUUCUGUGCAUGAACUGGCAAUUCCAGCUUUAUUUCCCGCUUUCUCCUUACCAGUAAAAGUGGCCCCUUUGAGUCCGGACCCCAUAGGCCCCCUGCCCCAGGAGGCUCACUAAGCGACGCUGGGGGAGCCGGAUUCCAGUCCCACCUGGACCCACUUCCUAUAGGAGGGGCCUGUGGCUUCCCUGGGUCUCAGGUUCCUCAUCUGUAAAGCAGACCAGGCGCCCUCAGAGGUUCCGUGCAUUUAUCAGUUAGGAAGACAGUGGCAGCCAGGGAGUCGAAUAGAGGAAAUGUAAUGUGGGGAGCUGGUCACAGAGACGGUGGAAGAGCUGAAAAGCCAAUCCCCCACAGAAGUGAGAGCAGCAAGUUUCCACAUUUGGGAAGGAAAUGUUAUCAGCACCUGAACUCAGCAGUCUGGUGAAGCUGGAACCGUGGAGAGUGGCUGCCCAGCAGGAGCACACUGGCAGGGGGCCGCUGUUAGAGACCCCGGCCAGCUCAGUGGGAGAACAAGGGGAACAGCCUGGCUUCUCCCUUCCUCCAGCCCUCGGAUUCACCCUCACUGACUCACUCGGGCUGAACCCAGCCGGAAGCCAGGCAGCAAGACAGCCUGGGAGAAGUCGUUUGCAGAAGACAGAGGGCUGCAGUCCCAAGCAGGGCAGGGGAAUCCGGGCGAAUGACGAGCAAGUCCGGCCGCGGCCGCUGCCAUGGUCCCAGCCUCAGAGGGGAUUUUUCCGUUUUUGUUCUGUCCUGGCAUUUCUGUUUCAGAUGAUCCCUAUGCAAAGGAAUUGAAGUCGGACAGAGUAGAAACAUUUCAGUUCGGCUGAAACUUCAGUUAGGCUCCCACUUGUGUUUACGCUCACAUAUCACUUCUGAACCCCCAAAGUGGAUUUGUGUCCUCUGGCUCUCCCCUUGCCCAACUGAGCAUCCCCCGACUCACACUUCUGCCCCACAUUCUCUCUCAGCAAGCGGCAGGCUGUGCCGGGCAGGUGUGAGAUGUGGGCCAGACACAAACAGAGCUAGAUUCACCCGGGCUGCUGGGGAGGGGGAGGCAGUGUAACAGGUUCCGCACCAUCUGGAGAAGCAGGAGCAUUAUUUCCUCCACCAGGGCUGGGCUUCCAGGUACAGAGAGCAGAGGUCACUGUGGUCCAACAGGCUGAGCAUAGAUUAGGAACUCAAUUGUUCUUUGUUUAGACUCAGCUGAGGCACCCAACCUUGUGUGACUUUGAGCCAAACUCAAUUCUUUGGAUCCAACCUGCUUUACGAGACGAGGAAGACGUGACCAGGAACAUCAGCGAAGUACUCUGAAACGUAAAUGGACAACGACGGCAAUACCCAGCAUUCAUACCGUGCCCGUCCUCUGAGGCGCGUUCUUAACACACAAUCUCAUCAGUCCUUGAAAUCAUCCUCGUGAAGUAGGGGAGAGACUUUUAUCCCCAUCUUACAGAAAGAAACCCAUGCACUGAGAAUAUACCGGGCCCAGCACCGUGGGUCAAGCUGGCACUGGAUUGAAGGUCUCGUGAGUGUCAGCCCGACCUGCUUCUACUGAGCCAAGGAGGACACAUGAGCUCCUCAGCCCGAGUCCACAGAGCAGCUGAAGAAUGUGGGGCUACGCUCUUCACCAUUAGGCCUAGAAAGGGGAGAAGGAACGAGUGAGAAGAAGAGAGGGAGUAAAGGAAAAGGAAGGGGAGCAAAAGUAGAGAUAAAGGAAGACUUAUGAUGGGCAAGUUGGAUAGGAACAUGUCGCUCAGGGAAUUGUUCCGCCGCGGUUCUUAAUUACAGCAUGAGAGAAAACCUGGCUUUGCACAGGAUGUCUUCCAUCUUCGCCCUCGGUCCUGGAAAUCCACCAGGGUUACUAUUCAGAAGAGUAAAGAGCCACUCUGCUUCGUUUCUAAUCUGGGGUCCUCCCAUUAUCAGCUGGCCUUUUCGGCUCCCCCCGCCCCACCCCUUAGGGCCCAGUUUACGACACUUAAACUCUUGUUCCCUUUUCUGUAAGGUCCUAUUGUGUAAGGCGGGAGAACAGAUACUCAUGUGGGUGUGCUGAAGCUCAGACAUGUUUAUCUGCACCUGAACAGUGGAAUGCUUUCACGUGGCGGGAGAGUGGUAUCCGCCACCAUUCUUUGGGAUUGCGAGGGUCCUCUUCCCACCCACAGCAGCAUAUCUGGGCUCUUGCCGAAGACAAGCCCUUACAGAAGUUGGGCAGAUGUAAUUUACCAAGCAUGUCAAGGGUUGGGAAAGAUGUGGCUAAAGGGUCUAGCUUGUGCAAGGCCUUACGUGCCCGCCCCCCUCUGACAGGCACGCUCCCGGCCACGCUACAGCACCGUAUUCUAGCUGAGCCUUUUGCUGAAAUGAGAAAUAGCAUCUCCUCUAGUUUAGACAGCCCAACACACACCAGAAACACAAAGUCCACUUUUGCUAAUUUUCAACCCAAGGGGCUUUCCAGAAAGUGGAGCUUUAUAACAGAACAGCUUCCUGGACCGCAGGCAAGCCUGUAGCAAUGAAUCCAGGCUAUAAUUCUGAUUGCACCCUGCAAACCAGUAAAACUUACUGUGUACUUAAUAUGCCCACCUCACUGUUUGCCAUCAUGGAAAUCUACUCAAGCUGCUCAGUGCUGCGAUUACAGCCCUCUGUUCAUGGUGUGUAGGGAAAAUGACGUUUAUUCUUUGGUUAAUGUUGUCUCUCUCGGCCCCCAGAGUCAGUAAACAAACAAGUUGUCCUUGGAGUGAAUGCCUCCAUGUCGGCGUCUCCCCAUUUCUGCGCCGCAGCCCAACAACGAAGCCCAAUGAGCAUUCUCGGCCCCCGCGUCCUGCUGUAGCAUUUGGAGGACGCCAAGUUAUUGAUGGGAACAGGUGCUCAUAAUUCGGCAUAACCCACCCGAGCCUUAUUUCACUUUCUCU
ensembl:lncRNA